AAGACUAUACUUUCAGGGAUCAUUUCUAUAGUUUGUUAUUAAUGGCUGGCUGCUAAAAAGUAGACACCAUUUGAUAGUAGACUGAAGAGGGUGUUUACU
ensembl:snoRNA U3 Small nucleolar RNA U3